AUUGAACGCUGGCGGCAUGCCUUACACAUGCAAGUCGAACGGCAUCCCUUCAGCAAUCCUGGUGGCGAUUGGCGAACGGGUGAGUAAUAUAUCGGAACGUGCCCAGUCGUGGGGGAUAAUGCAGCGAAAGCUGUGCUAAUACCGCAUACGAUCUAAGGAUGAAAGCGGGGGAUCGCAAGACCUCGCGCGAUUGGAGCGGCCGAUAUCAGAUUAGCUAGUUGGUGGGGUAAAGGCCCACCAAGGCGACGAUCUGUAGCUGGUCUGAGAGGACGACCAGCCACACUGGAACUGAGACACGGUCCAGACUCCUACGGGAGGCAGCAGUGGGGAAUUUUGGACAAUGGGGGCAACCCUGAUCCAGCAAUGCCGCGUGAGUGAAGAAGGCCUUCGGGUUGUAAAGCUCUUUUGUCAGGGAAGAAACACCGGCUCUAACACAGUCCGGGAGUGACGGUACCUGAAGAAUAAGCACCGGCUAACUACGUGCCAGCCGCCGCCGUAAGAC
rnacentral:rRNA from 1 species